rnacentral:rRNA from 1 species
ACUCCUACGGGAGGCAGCAGUGGGGAAUCUUGGACAAUGGGCGCAAGCCUGAUCCAGCCAUGCCGCGUGAGUGAUGAAGGCCUUAGGGUCGUAAAGCUCUUUCGCCAGGGAUGAUAAUGACAGUACCUGGUAAAGAAACCCCGGCUAACUCCGUGCCAGCAGCCGCGGUAAUACGGAGGGGGUUAGCGUUGUUCGGAAUUACUGGGGCGUAAAGCGCGCGUAGGCGGAUCGGAAAGUUGGGGGUGAAAUCCCGGGGGCUCAACCCCGGAACUGCCUCCAAAACUAUCGGUCUAGAGUUCGAGAGAGGUGAGUGGAAUUCCGAGUGUAGAGGUGAAAUUCGUAGAUAUUCGGAGGAACACCAGUGGCGAAGGCGGCUCACUGGCUCGAUACUGACGCUGAGGUGCGAAGUAGU